UUGGACACAGACCAGAAGAAGUCAAGGAGGUAUAUCAUGAAGCUCCAUUCCAGGUAUUCCUCCUUGAUACAGUCAGCAGAUAGAGAGAGUUUCCACGCCAUAGUGGAUAUGGCCAGGAGGAUGGAGGCUAGUGCUAUCAUCGAGGGAAAAGUCAAGCAGUCAGUGGCACAGCCUUCUGGGUUCAAGACCCCAAGUGGGGGAAAGAUAGACCCCUCUUCUCUGAGUUCAAGCAGUAAGAAGUGGAG
rnacentral:lncRNA from 1 species